GUCCAGUCCCUACAGGCCCUUGUCCAAAGCCCCUCUCCAGGUAUUACGUAAACCAGUAAGAAAGUUGGAAGGAGAACAUGAGAGCUGGGAGACCCCAGCAGAAGAGGUAAUGCAGGAGAGCCAGAGGCUCCAAUCUGAGGUAUGGGAGGUGCCCAGCAGAGCAUUAGGAGACACAGAGCAGGGGUAGAAGAUGCUACCAGCAGCUCUGGUCUAACAGCUCUACCUGGCAGGCAGAUGCUGAGGCAGAGCUGACAUGGGGAUAGGAUACAGAAAAAACAUCAAACCCACUUCUCCAUGAGAUGAAAAGGCCACAACAGCCAAGACUGACCCACACAGGCUGAUGUUACACUGAGGAUUAAGCAAGGAGCCAGGCAUCUGGUUACUCCAAGGGCUUGAGGAGCUCUU